rnacentral:rRNA from 1 species
CCCACUGCUAUCGGGAUAGGACUAAGACAUGCUAGUUGAGCGCUUCCAGCCAACACGGGAGCGCAGCGUACAGCUCAGUAACACGUGGCUAAUCUGCCCUUGGGACCGGAACACCCCCGGGAAACUGGGGCUAAUUCUCGAUAGGUGAAGAACUCUGGAAUGAGUCUUUGCCAAAAAGACGUUUACGUUAUGCUCGUAGGCGUCGCCCAAGGAUGAGGCCGCGACCGAUCAGGUUGUUGGUGAGGUAAUGGCUCACCAAGCCUUUUACCGGUGCGGGCCGUGGGAGCGGGAGCCCGGAGAUGGGCACUGAGACAAGGGCCCAGGCCCUACGGGGCGCAGCAGUCGCGAAAACUUUGCAAUACACGAAAGUGUGACAGGGCUAUCCCGAGUGCCAUCCGCUGAGGAAGGCUUUUACCCAGUCUAGAACGCUGGGGGAAUAAGGAGAGGGCAAGUCUGGUGUCAGCCGCCGCGGUAAUACCAGCUCUUCGAGUGGUGUGGAUGUUUAUUGGGCCUAAAGCAUCCGUAGCUGGCUAAGUUAGUCCCCUGUUAAAUCCACCGAAUUAAUCGUUGGAUUGCGGGGGAUACUGCUUGGCUAGGGGACGAGAGAGGCAGACGGUAUUUCCGGGGUAGGGGUGAAAUCCUAUAAUCCCGGGAAUACCACCAGUGGCGAAGGCUGUCUGCUAGAACGCGCCCGACGGUGAGGGAUGAAAGCUGGGGGAGCGAACCGGAUUAGAUACCCGGGUAGUCCCAGCUGUAAACGAGGCAGGCUAGGUGUUUGGACGGCCACGUGCCGUUCUAGUGCCGCAGGGAAGCUGUUAAGCCUGCCGCCUGGGGAGUACGAUCGCAAGAUUGAAACUUAAAAGGAAUUGGCGGGGGGAGCACCACAAGGGGGUGAAGCU